CUACGGGGUGCACCAGUGAGGAAUAUUGCACAAUGGGGGGAACCCUGAUGCAGCAACGCCGCGUGGAGGAUGACGCAUUUCGGUGUGUAAACUCCUUUUAUAUGUCAAGAAAAUGACGGUAGCAUAUGAAUAAGCGCCGGCUAACCCCGUGCCAGCAGCCGCGGUAAUACGGAGGGCGCAAGCGUUACUCGGAAUCACUGGGCAUAAAGGACGCGUAGGCGGGUUGAAAAGUCAGGUGUGAAAGCCUACAGCUUAACUGUAGAACUGCACUUGAAACUCUCAAUCUAGAGUAUGGGAGGGGCAGAUGGAAUUAGUGGUGUAGGGGUAAAAUCCGUAGAUAUCACUAGGAAUACCUAAAGCGAAGGCGAUCUGCUGGAACAUUACUGACGCUAAGGCGUGAAAGCGUGGGGAGCAAACAGGAUUAGAUACCCGAGUAGUC
rnacentral:rRNA from 1 species